UAUCGUUUAUAUGCACAAUACAGGCAUGUUUCAGAUAUCAAAUAGUCAUCUUUUUUUACUUGAAAACUUAUUCCAACUACAAUGUACAUUUUUGUCUAUAAAUAUUAAAUAGUCAAGUUUAUUUUCUCAAUUUUCUUUCCUUUCCUCUUCAACACCAUAAUCAUAUUGACCAAGUUUCUUAUUGUGUAUUACUUGCAAUCAUAAAAAUCACUUUGUCCAAACUUACCAGAUCUGACAAAAAUGACAGAAUACACAAUAGAGAAUUUGCCAACAAUAAAGGUGUGCUUGAAUUUCAAUUUGGUUGAACUCUUUGAACCUUCUUGUCCAUCUUAUUUAUGUCAAACAUGUUUUUUUUCAAAUACCAGCUGUACUUUUCCAAAUAUUUAUGAAUUAAAAACAAUGAAUUAAAGACAAUGAUAUAGAUAUAAAUAACAAUUAAACUAACAAACUAAUUAGUCUGACAUUUAAAAAAUACAUAAAUCAAAACCUCUCCAAGAUAAGGCAUUUAAAAUUAUAACUACUGUGCAUACAUUUUGUGGAUGUUUUUUCCUCAAAACACAAUCUUUUCUCUAAGUCUAAUCAAAUAGCAUGACAAUAAAGUCUUCAUGAAAAUUGAACACGUUUGAUUGUAUUUAAACAUUUUACCAAACAUCAACCCUGUUAAGCCGUAUAUACAGCAUGGUAAAGUUUAUAAUUCGAGAUUUAGACAAAAGAAUUUAAUAGUCAAAUCCCCAAUAAAGUAUGGGUCGCAAAUAUAAUUAACCAACCUUAUUAAACUUAGGAAAGUUUGCUAUUCUAUUGUUCAUUCAAGUUUUGAGAGAACCAGCACUUGAUCUAACAAUUGUUUAUAAGAUUUGUAUACUAAGUUGCUUAUAAUGUACUAUCUUAACUUUAAACAUUGUAUUUUUCAUGUGAAAAUUAUUGACUUUAAACUAAAUCAUUCACAUGAUUAAAAAAAAUAUUGGUUUGAAGCUGAUCCAUUAACUAAUAAGUAAUGUCUGGAAGUUGACCAUCACUACGCAUAAAGACUUUGCAGGGUGUCAUGUAUGUCCUCUGUAUAAAAUAUCAAACUUUAUGUAGCCAUUUAAAGACUUAAAACUAUUCCUAUAUAUAUGGAGCUUUCAUUCAUAGUCAAAUACUGAUAAUGCAAGAUAAUCUAAGAAUUCUUUUGUAUAAAUUAACUGAUCAUUAUUUUAAACAUUUUUUAUGAAAAUCUCAAGAAGGUAUACUUAUGCCACCUUGAUGAUCAUUAAACUC
rnacentral:lncRNA from 1 species